GCCUUUGUGGUGUAAUGGUCAGCACACUCGGCGCGUAUUCGAGAGGUCCAGGGUUUGAGUCCCGGCGAGGAUA
rnacentral:tRNA from 1 species